UACGUAGGGCGCAAGCGUUGUCCGGAAUUAUUGGGCGUAAAGAGCUCGUAGGCGGCUUGUCACGUCGGAUGUGAAAGCCCGGGGCUCAACUCCGGGUCUGCAUUCGAUACGGGCUGGCUAGAGUGUGGUAGGGGAGAUCGGAAUUCCUGGUGUAGCGGUGAAAUGCGCAGAUAUCAGGAGGAACACCGGUGGCGAAGGCGGAUCUCUGGGCCAUUACUGACGCUGAGGAGCGAAAGCGUGGGGAGCGAACAGG
rnacentral:rRNA from 1 species